rnacentral:sRNA from 1 species
UCACAAAGUCUAUAGAGGAGCCUUUACGUUUCGUACAUUUGUAACGUAAAAAAGGAACAUGCACGCUUUUGUUAAGUUUUCAUUAGCUUUCAUUCUGAUGAUGUCAUAUUUUAUUUACGGUGACGUACGUCACAAUUUUUUUUCGAAUCAAGAUGAAGACGAGCCGGCAGGGGAUAUUUUUGCGAUUUUUGACCGUCAGAACUACAGUCGUGUACGUUGUGGAAUUCUUUGUUUGGAAGACCAAUGCUGCGAGGAGUUUUUGUACAGUGCGUCCACUCGGCGAUGUAUCGGCCGACAUUUCAUGUGGUUUAGCAGUAGUAGUUCGGAUAACGCGGUUUACACGAUGCUGUGAGACUGGUUGGUUGGAGUUCAAAGGUCACUGCUAUAUUGAAGGUCAAAGUCUUGCUACUUGGAAUGACGCCAAUUUGCAAUGCAAGAAAAUGUGUUCCCAUCUGGUGGAGAUUGACUCUCAGGAUGAAAAUGAUUGGCUAACCAUGACAAUGUUAAAGAAAGAAAACUGUGGAACCUAUGAGUUUAAGAAUUGCACAUCUUGGACCGGGGGUAACGAUAUACAGACCGAGGGUUCCUACAUGUGGGACCAUUCGAACACGAACAUAAUCUUUACCAACUGGCAUCCAAAUGAGCCCAGUCUAUUAAUCCCGAACGACACCCUCACAAAAGACUGUAUUGAUAUACUGAGGACGGGACUAUGGAACGACCGUCACUGCUCUUAUUUGAAUUCGUUUAUCUGUGAAAAGUUUUCAGAUAAAAGUGAUAUUGUGAUUUUAGGAUGA